rnacentral:rRNA from 1 species
UUCCAAGCUACUAAGGGCCAACGGUGAAUGCCUUGGCGCCUACUACCGAAGAAGGACGUGGACGGCUGCGAUAAGCCACGGGGAGCUGCCUAUCUA